UACAGAGGGUGCGAGCGUUAAUCGGAAUUACUGGGCGUAAAGCGCGUGUAGGCGGUUUGGUAAGUCUGAUGUGAAAGCCCCGGGCUCAACCUGGGAAGUGCAUUGGAUACUGUCAGACUUGAAUACGGGAGAGGGUAGUGGAAUUCCUAGUGUAGGAGUGAAAUCCGUAGAUAUUAGGAGGAACACCGGUGGCGAAGGCGGCUACCUGGACCGAUAUUGACGCUGAGACGCGAAAGCGUGGGGAGCAAACAGG
rnacentral:rRNA from 1 species